rnacentral:misc_RNA from 1 species
CCUUAUACGAAGAUACUUACGAUGAGUGUCCACACAGAUUGAUGGUUUAGAUUUAGUUAAAGCCAGAGCUUUAAUUAAUAACGUAAGUUAUUGAUUAAAGCUUUUUGCUUUAUGCUCUUUAACAAUUUGGAAAGCUGACUGAUUAACUGACUUACGAGUCAUGUUAAUCAAAUUUAAAAGUUCUCAAUGUUUAUCUGCUCUUAUUUAAUAAGAACGGUAUAAACACAACAAACACAUUCAAGUGUCUUGUAUUCGAAUCAAAUUUAUUUGAUUCACAAUUGAGUCCGGCAAACAGUUAUCAGGAAUUAACCCUUCUUGAUGACAACCAAAAACCUUGGUUGCUUUUUGUCUUCACUUUUUGAAAGUGAAAGCAAAUUUGUAUCAUACACAAGACCUU